ACUUCAGGGGUCCAGUUCGCUCUUGUAAAGCGGGGGUCGUCGGUUCGAAUCCGACAGGGGGCUCCA
rnacentral:tRNA from 1 species